CCACGGACCCGUAUAGGGGAAGUCGGUAAUCCUAUGCUGCCAAGAAAAUCUUCUAGCGAGGUUCGAGCCGCCCGUACCCCAAACCGACUCAGGUGGUUAGGUAGAGAAUACCAAGGCGAUCGAGUGAAUCGUGGUUAAGGAAUUCGGCAAAAUACCCCCGUAACUUCGGGAGAAGGGGGGCCGAGAGGGUGAAGGGACUUGCUCCCCGAGCCUGAACGGCCGCAGAGACCAGGGAGAAGCGACUGUUUACUAAAAACACAGGUCCGUGCCAAGUCGCAAGACGAUGUAUACGGACUGACGCCUGCCCGGUGCUGGAACGUUAAGGGGACCGGUUAGCCUCACGGCGAAGCUGAGAACUUAAGCGCCAGUAAACGGCGGUGGUAACUAUAACCAUCCUAAGGUAGCGAAAUUCCUUGUCGGGUAAGUUCCGACCUGCACGAAUGGCGUAACGAUUUCUCCACUGUCUCAACCACGAACUCGGCGAAAUUGCACUACGAGUAAAGAUGCUCGUUACGCGCAGAAGGACGGAAAGACCCCGGGACCUUUACUACAGCUUGGUAUUGGUGUUCGGUACGGCUUGUGUAGGAUAGGUGGGAGACUGUGAAGCUGACACGCCAGUGUCGGUGGAGUCAACGUUGAAAUACCACUCUGGUCGUUCUGGAUAUCUAACCUAGGUCCGUGAUCCGGAUCAGGGACAGUGCCUGGUGGGUAGUUUAACUGGGGCGGUUGCCUCCCAAAAGGUAACGGAGGCGCCCAAAGGUUCCCUCAGCCUGGUUGGCAAUCAGGUUUCGAGUGUAAGUGCACAAGGGAGCUUGACUGUGAGACUGACAAGUCGAACAGGGACGAAAGUCGGGACUAGUGAUCCGGCGGUGGCUUGUGGAAGCGCCGUCGCUCAACGGAUAAAAGGUACCCCGGGGAUAACAGGCUGAUCUUGCCCAAGAGUCCAUAUCGACGGCAUGGUUUGGCACCUCGAUGUCGGCUCGUCGCAUCCUGGGGCUGGAGUAGGUCCCAAGGGUUGGGCUGUUCGCCCAUUAAAGCGGUACGCGAGCUGGGUUUAGAACGUCGUGAGACAGUUCGGUCCCUAUCCUCUGCGCGCGCAGGAAACUUGAGAAGGGCUGUCCCUAGUACGAGAGGACCGGGAUGGACGAACCUCUGGUGUGUCAGUUGUUCUGCCAAGAGCACCGCUGAUUGGCUACGUUCGGGAGUGAUAACCGCUGAAAGCAUCUAAGCGGGAAGCAUGCUUCAAGAUGAGGUUUCCAUGGGUUUACCCCGAGAGGCUCCCAGCUAGACUACUGGGUUGAUAGGCCGGAUGUGGAAGUGCGGUAACGCAUGGAGCU
rnacentral:rRNA from 1 species